AACGAACACUGGCGGCGUGCCUAAGACAUGCAAGUCGGACGGAAAGGCCCCCUUCGGGGGGCACUCGAGUGGCGCACGGGUGAGUAACGCGUGGGUAAUCUGCCUUAGGGUCUAGGACAACCCCGGGAAACUGGGGCUAAUACUGGAUAAGACCACGAGCUCUUCGGAGCUUGCGGAAAAAGAUGGCCUCUCCUUGGAAGCUAUCGCCCUUCGAUGAGCCCGCGUCCCAUUAGCUAGUUGGUGAGGUGACGGCUCACCAAGGCUUUGAUGGGUAGCUGGUCUGAGAGGAUGAUCAGCCACACUGGAACUGAGACACGGUCCAGACUCCUACGGGAGGCAGCAGUCGGGAAUUUUGGGCAAUGGGCGAAAGCCUGACCCAGCAACGCCGCGUGAGGGAUGAAGGCCCUCGGGUCGUAAACCUCGGUCGGGAGGGAAGAAUGGUUGCCGUUCGAACAGGUCGGUAGCCUGACGGUACCUCCAAAGGAAGCACCGGCUAACUCCGUGCCAGCCGCCGCCGUAAUAC
rnacentral:rRNA from 1 species